rnacentral:rRNA from 1 species
UGGGGAAUAUUGGACAAUGGGCGCAAGCCUGAUCCAGCAAUGCCGCGUGAGUGAGGAAGGCCUUAGGGUUGUAAAGCUCUUUCACCCACGACGAUGAUGACGGUAGUGGGAGAAGAAGCCCCGGCUAACUUCGUGCCAGCAGCCGCGGUAAUACGAAGGGGCGGAGCGUUGUUCGGAUUAGCUUGGGCGUGAAAGGGCGACGGCAGGCGGCGGACCAAGUCAGGCGUGAAAGCCCGGCGUAUCACUGGGAAUGGCGUCUGGGACUGGUAUGCUAGAGUUCGGGAGAGGAGCGUGGAAUUCCCAGUGUAGAGGUGAAAUUCGUAGAUAUUGGGAAGAACACCGGUGGCGAAGGCGGCGCUCUUGGACCGAGACUGACGCUGAGGCGCGAAAGCGUGGGGAGCAAACA